GACGAACGCUGGCGGCGUGCCUAAUACAUGCAAGUUGAGCGCUGAAGGUUGGUACUUGUACCAACUGGAUGAGCAGCGAACGGGUGAGUAACGCGUGGGGAAUCUGCCUUUGAGCGGGGGACAACAUUUGGAAACGAAUGCUAAUACCGCAUAAAAACUUUAAACACAAGUUUUAAGUUUGAAAGAUGCAAUUGCAUCACUCAAAGAUGAUCCCGCGUUGUAUUAGCUAGUUGGUGAGGUAAAGGCUCACCAAGGCGAUGAUACAUAGCCGACCUGAGAGGGUGAUCGGCCACAUUGGGACUGGGACACGGCCCAAACUCCUACGGGAGGCAGCAGUAGGGAAUCUUCGGCAAUGGACGAAAGUCCGAACGAGCAACGCCGCGUGAGUGAAGAAGGUUUUCGGAUCGUAAAACUCUGUUGGUAGAGAAGAACGUUGGUGAGAGUGGAAAGCUCAUCAAGUGACGGUAACUACCCAGAAAGGGACGGCUAACUACGUG
rnacentral:rRNA from 1 species